rnacentral:rRNA from 1 species
GACGAACGCUGGCGGCGUGCUUAACACAUGCCAGUCGAACGGUAAGGCCCUUCGGGGUACACGAGUGGCGAACGGGUGAGUAACACGUGGGUGACCUGCCCUGCACUUCGGGAUAAGCCUGGGAAACUGGGUCUAAUACCGGAUAGGACCACUGCCUGCAUGGGUGGUGGUGGAAAGCUUUUGUGGUGUGGGAUGGGCCCGCGGCCUAUCAGCUUGUUGGUGGGGUGAUGGCCUACCAAGGCGACGACGGGUAGCCGGCCUGAGAGGGUGACCGGCCACACUGGGACUGAGAUACGGCCCAGACUCCUACGGGAGGCAGCAGUGGGGAAUAUUGCACAAUGGGCGCAAGCCUGAUGCAGCGACGCCGCGUGAGGGAUGACGGCCUUCGGGUUGUAAACCUCUUUCAGCACCGACGAAGCGCAAGUGACGGUAGGUGCAGAAGAAGGACCGGCCAACUACGUGCCAGCAGCCGCAGUAA